UGAGAGGAAGCAGAGUGGUUGAAAUGCGCCGCACUCGAAAUGUGGCAUACCUAAGAGGGUAUCGUGGGUUGAAUCCCACCCUCUCCGCCA
rnacentral:tRNA from 1 species